rnacentral:rRNA from 1 species
UACAGAGGUCCCGAGCGUGUUCGGAUUCAUUGGGCGUAAAGGGUGCGUAGGCGGCGGGGCAAGUCUGAUGUGAAAUCCCGGGGCUCAACCCCGGAACUGCAUUGGAUACUGCCUUGCUCGAGUACUGGAGAGGGAACUGGAAGUUACGGUGUAGCAGUGAAAUGCGUAGAGAUCGUAAGGAAGGCCAGUGGCGAAGGCGAGUUCCUGGACAGUUACUGACGCUGAGGCACGAAGGCCAGGGGAGCAAAACGGG